rnacentral:rRNA from 1 species
GACGAACCGUGCGAACGUUGUUCGGAUUCACUGGGCUUAAAGGGCGCGUAGGCGGCUUGCCAAGUCAGGGGUGAAAUCUUUCGGCUCAACCGGAAAAGUGCUUCUGAUACUGGCGGGCUGGAGGGGGGUAGGGGCAGAUGGAACUUCCGGUGGAGCGGUGAAAUGCGUAGAUAUCGUGAGGAAGACCAGUGGCGAAGGCGGGUCUCUGGACAGUUCCUGACACUGAGGCACGAAGGCCAGGGGAGCAAACGGG